rnacentral:rRNA from 1 species
UACGAAGGGGGGCUAGCGUUGCUCGGAAUCACUGGGCGUAAAGCGCACGUAGGCGGCUUCUUAAGUCAGGGGUGAAAUCCUGGAGCUCAACUCCAGAACUGCCUUUGAUACUGAGAGGCUUGAGUCCGGGAGAGGUGAGUGGAACUGCGAGUGUAGAGGUGAAAUUCGUAGAUAUUCGCAAGAACACCAGUGGCGAAGGCGGCUCACUGGCCCGGUACUGACGCUGAGGUGCGAAAGCGUGGGGAGCAAACAGG